AACGAGUCUAGUUUAAUGGGCUGUUGCAGCUAUGACAUGUCUUAAGAUUUUAUAUACAAAAGACCCUAUGUAAAUUAUUCUGUGAAUUGUUGUACAUCUAUCAUGUGCAUGUAAUUAGAUGAAUCUGACAUACUUACCCUGUACUUUUUCUGAAUUUGCAGAAUAUCUUUAAUGACACAGCCAUAGUUCAGCUCCAUGAAAGAUCCUUAAUUCAAUUUUCCUUAAAGAAGAUUGACACUAGUAACAUUCGCGCAGCAGUUCUGCAGAAUUUCAUGAGGUGGCUGGAUCCUGGAUGUGCUGCCCAGGAAGAUGGUGGGAGCGGCACUUCUGUAUCCUGAACAGAGUGCAGGGCUGCUGCACGCGUUGCACCUCCGGUGUGCGGGACCAAGGGAGAAGUGCAGCGGAGCUGCCAUGUGAUGAGGGCGCGGAGCAAGGCCAGCACGAUGGCGAGGCCCCAAGCCGCUGCUGAACCGGUCUCCUCAGGAUGCUUUUCCUAUCCAACAACUUCCCAAAUCUUUCUCUGAUUCUCCCUCUGCUGAUAGCAGUGGCAAUAAUUUCAGGAGAGCUCAGCUCUUGAUGUCUCCUCUAUGUCUGCUCCCAAUCUAAAUCUCCAGAAAGUCUUGUGUUGAGGGAGAAGGUGAAAAGCCUGUUAGUAUGGCCAGAACAGAUUACAAUAUAUUUUUGCUCUUUUUUCAUGGUCUAUAAUAAUCUAAGUUUUGUUGUUGUUGUUUUGUGUUUGUAAAUACAUCAUUUGCACUUCAAAUUAAAAAUAUAUAUAUA